rnacentral:rRNA from 1 species
UACGGAGGGGGCUAGCGUUGUUCGGAAUUACUGGGCGUAAAGCGCACGUAGGCGGACUGUUAAGUCAGGGGUGAAAUCCCGCGGCUCAACCGCGGAAGUGCCUUUGAUACUGACGGCCUCGAGGGAGGUAGGGGCGUGUGGAACUUCCGGUGGAGCGGUGAAAUGCGUAGAUAUCGGAAGGAACGCCGGUGGCGAAAGCGACGCGCUGGACCUCUUCUGACGCUGAGGCGCGAAAGCCAGGGGAGCAAACGGG